GUUGAACGCUGGCGGCAGGCCUAACACAUGCAAGUCGAACGGUAACAGGAAGCAGCUUGCUGCUUCGCUGACGAGUGGCGGACGGGUGAGUAAUGUCUGGGAAGCUGCCUGAUGGAGGGGGAUAACUACUGGAAACGGUAGCUAAUACCGCAUAAUGUCGCAAGACCAAAGAGGGGGACCUUCGGGCCUCUUGCCAUCGGAUGUGCCCAGAUGGGAUUAGCUUGUUGGUGGGGUAACGGCUCACCAAGGCGACGAUCCCUAGCUGGUCUGAGAGGAUGACCAGCCACACUGGGACUGAGACACGGUCCAGACUCCUACGGGAGGCAGCAGUGGGGAAUAUUGCACAAUGGGCGCAAGCCUGAUGCAGCCAUGCCGCGUGUAUGAAGAAGGCCUUCGGGUUGUAAAGUACUUUCAGCGGGGAGGAAGGGAGUAAAGUUAAUACCUUUGCUCAUUGACGUUACCCGCAGAAGAAGCACCGGCUAACUCCGUG
rnacentral:rRNA from 1 species